CACGUGCCUAUCGAAAACACGCACGGUCAUAACUCCUCUCCUUCAUCGGAUAAGGUUUUUUUUCCCUGCUUACAAACCUCACUAGAAAACCAGUGUCAAACCAUGGCUUCUUUUGAUUGACUACCCUUAAUUUCCCCUAUUCUGCAAAAACCCUAGUUUCUACCUCUCAAAAGAAAAGAAUGGCCUCCAAAAUUCUUCCCCAGGCACUAGUAUUGAUUCCAAUAAACCCUACUCAAUGUCCACCGCCGAGAAAGUUAGGGUUUUCCGCUGCAGUUCAUCGAAGUUGCUCCUCACUCUCCAAUUCUACUUGUCGGGUUUCACUUUCAUCAAAUUCAUUUGGUUCAAAUCUUGACUCAAUCAUCUCCGCAUUUGCCAAACAAAGGUUUAUCGCGAGAGCUGAAUCAGAAGAAUCUGCAGCCGCAGAAGUAGCUGAAGAAGAAAGUGAAGUUCUUGAAGUUGAAGGACAAGAAGAAGCGAAGGCCGAAGAAAUAGAGAUAGAACCAAGAAAGCCCAUAAUUAAACUUGGAGACAUAAUGGGGAUAUUGAAUAGGAGAGCAGUUGAGGCAUCAGAGAAUGAAAGGCCAAUUCCUGAUAUCAGGACUGGAGAUAUACUGCAGAUUAAAUUGGAAGUACCGGAGAAUAGGCGUAGGCUGUCAAUUUACAAAGGAAUUGUAAUUUCAAGGCAAAAUGCUGGUAUUCAUACUACCAUUAGAGUUCGGAGAAUUAUUGCUGGUAUUGGUGUCGAGAUUGUUUUUCCACUCUACUCACCAAAUAUCAAGGAAAUAAAAGUAGUCAAACACAGGAAGGUCAGGAGGGCAAGGUUGUACUAUCUGAGAGACAAGCUCCCCAGGCUGUCCACCUUUAAAUGAAGAACUUGGAGAGGGUUGGUUUUCAGUUUUUGUAUUCUCCAGAGUAGUAUUUCGACUGCAGAGAUGUUAUUCCUGCGGGUGGAGUGUGGCUAAGUUGUGAUCUGAGAUGGGUAGCUAUUUUCAUCUGUAUGAUUCACGUUCGGCAAAGGGACCCCUUCACAAGAAUUAUUGGCUGUAAUCAAGUGCCUCCCAUCAUAUUUUAGUAAAAUAUUAUUUGAUAAUGUCUUCAUCGAGGGGACAUCAUUAAUUUGCUCAGCUAACUCCUAAUCUUUUUCUUGUCCCUUUUUUAUAAAAUUUUAUUUUACCCAUUGAACAAUAUGUUCCUGCGUUUAAGCAACCAUUGUCUUUUUUAACUUA